GAUAACAGCCAUAUCACCCUGCAGCCCAGACCGGUUACUCCAUGAAGCUAAGCAAGGCUGAGCCUAGCCAGUCCCUGGCUGGGAGACCACAUGGGAAAACUAGGUUGCUGUUGGAA
ensembl:rRNA 5S_rRNA 5S ribosomal RNA